CAGUCGAACGGAGUUGUGUUGAAAGCUUGCUGGAUAUACAACUUAGUGCGCUGACGGGUGAGUAACACGUGAGUAACCUGCCUCUCAGAGUGGAAUAACGUUUGGAAACGAACGCUAAUACCGCAUAACGUGAGAAAAGGGCAUCCUCUUUUUACCAAAGAUUUAUCGCUGAGAGAUGGGCUCGCGGCCGAUUAGGUAGUUGGUGAGAUAACAGCCCACCAAGCCGACGAUCGGUAGCCGGACUGAGAGGUUGAUCGGCCACAUUGGGACUGAGACACGGCCCAGACUCCUACGGGAGGCAGCAGUGGGGGAUAUUGCACAAUGGGGGAAACCCUGAUGCAGCGACGCCGCGUGAGGGAAGACGGUUUUCGGAUUGUAAACCUCUGUCUUUAGGGACGAAAAAAUGACGGUACCUAAGGAGGAAGCCACGGCUAACUACGUGCCAGCAGCCGCGGUAAUACGUAGGUGGCAAGCGUUGUCCGGAAUUACUGGGUGUAAAGGGAGCGUAGGCGGGGAGACAAGUUGAAUGUCUAAACUAUCGGCUUAACUGAUAGUCGCGUUCAAAACUAUCACUCUUGAGUGCAGUAGAGGUAGGCGGAAUUCCUAGUGUAGCGGUGAAAUGCGUAGGUAUUAGGAGGAACACCAGUGGCGAAGGCGGCCUACUGGGCUGUAACUGACGCUGAGGCUCGAAAGCGUGGGUAGCAAACAGGAUUAGAUACCCUGGUAGUCCACGCCGUAAACGAUGAUUACUAGGUGUGGGGGGACUGACCCCUUCCGUGCCGGAGUUAACACAAUAAGUAAUCCACCUGGGGAGUACGACCGCAAGGUUGAAACUCAAAGGAAUUGACGGGGGCCCGCACAAGCAGUGGAGUAUGU
rnacentral:rRNA from 1 species